GGAGAGGUGCCGGAGUGGUUGAUCGGGGCGGUCUCGAAAACCGUUGUGGUCAAUUUUGAUCACCGAGGGUUCGAAUCCCUCCCUCUCCG
rnacentral:tRNA from 1 species